rnacentral:rRNA from 1 species
AUUGAACGCUGGCGGCAGGCCUAACACAUGCAAGUCGAGCGAGCGGCGGACGGGUGAGUAAUGUAUGGGGAACUGCCCGAUAGAGGGGGAUAACUACUGGAAACGGUAGCUAAUACCGCAUACUAUCAGAUGAGCCCAUAUGGGAUUAGCUAGUAGGUGAGGUAAUGGCUCACCUAGGCGACGAUCCAUAGCUGGUCUGAGAGGAUGAACAGCCACACUGUAACUGAGACACGGUCCAGACUCCUACGGGAGGCAGCAGUGGGGAAUAUUGCACAAUGGGCGCAAGCCUGAUACAGCCAUGCCGCGUGUAUGAAGAAGGCCUUAGGGUUGUAAAGUACUUUCAGUCGGGAGGCGUUACCCGCAGAAGAAGCACCGGCUAACUCCGUGCCAGCAGCCGCGGUAAUAC